rnacentral:tRNA from 9 species
GGUUUGGUAGUUCAGUUGGUUAGAAUGCCGCCCUGUCACGGCGGAGGUCGCGGGUUCGAGUCCCGUCCAGACCGCAA